AUACGUAGGUGGCAAGCGUUGUCCGGAAUUAUUGGGCGUAAAGCGCGCGCAGGUGGUUCCUUAAGUCUGAUGUGAAAGCCCCCGGCUCAACCGGGGAGGGUCAUUGGAAACUGGGGAACUUGAGUGCAGAAGAGGAUAGUGGAAUUCCAAGUGUAGCGGUGAAAUGCGUAGAGAUUUGGAGGAACACCAGUGGCGAAGGCGACGGUCUGGACUGUAACUGACACGGAGGAGCGAAAGCUGGGGGAGCAAACAGGAUUAUAUCCCCUUGUAGUCCACGCCGUAAACGAUGAGUGCUAAGUGGUGUGGGGUUUCCGCCCCUCAGUGCUGCAGCUAACGCAUUAAGCGCUCCGCCUGGGGAGUACGGUCGCACGACUGAAACUCAAAGGAAUUGACGGGG
rnacentral:rRNA from 1 species